rnacentral:lncRNA from 1 species
GCUAACAUUGUUGUCGCCAUGGCCAUUGAUUAGCAGUUGUAAAUUGGUACACUGAGUUGACAUUGCUAUAUUAGCCACGGCUGCUACGGCACACAGAAACGUGACCGUCUCUUCUAUAAUUACCUUAGCUCUUACGUUUUAGUUAGCAGAUUUGACCCGAGUAAAUAUAAUUACAUUAUCUGUUAUAUUAACUCCAUUUGUAUUGAUAAGCUUAACUGUGAAGGUUGGCCCCGCCCCCUAUUUCUUUAACUCUUCGCUAUUACGCAAGAGACCAUCAUCUUAACAGUUGACCAACUCUUCACCACCCAUUCCUCCUUCCAGCUGGGCCCUCUACUUAGAAGCAAAGCAAGGUGCGCUAUUUAAAAAUACACUUCGAUUCAAAACUGUAAGCUAAUCAAUCAUGGCGGACAAGCUAAUCGGGAAACAUCUGUACAAGCAGCUCCUUGAUGGUGUUCAGGAAGCAUUAGGCAGCAGUACAAAGUUUACGUCGCUCCUUGAAGAUCUCAGACUGACGCUGGUCUCUCUGUAGAAAGUGAUUUCCAUUGAUAUUUUCUAUUACAUUGUAUACUAUAUAUAUCCGUAUACAUGAGCAGAUUUACAGAGAGCAAUCAAGCGACAUUAAUUACAUGAUCAAACUAAAUCAAAACUGAAACAUAGCAAUUACAAAACUAAUCAAUGGAGAAGAUUAUGUGCGUGAGUGAUUUAACUCUAACAACAUCAGUUUAGGAAACCUAUUGUGAAUGUUGGAGGAAAUCACGCUGGUGAUUGAAUUUGUGAUUGCUCUCUGACAUCCCCCCGCAAACUUGGCGGCCUUGGCCGGACAAGUUUGAGGCACAAGGCAGUAUGGCGGUGUUUAUGGAGAGGUUUGGUAAGGAGGUCAGCAGGCUGAUCAACUGAAGGGAUGUAACAGACACGGUGGCUACCAAGGGCGACCUUUUCACGUACAAAAUGAUAGUUAAGCUCAAUGUGUUUGGUGCGGGCAUGGAACACUGGGUUAGAAGCCAUAUAAGUGGCACUAAGGUUGUCGCAAUGAAGCAUAAUAGGGAGAUGAAUGCGGACACCAAGUUCAAAGAGUAAAUAGCCUAACCAGGUAGUUUCAGCAGAAGCAUGAGCGAGAGAGCGAUACUCUGCUUCAGCACUAGAGCGAGCCACUGUAGGCUGUUUCUUGGAGCACCAGGAUAUGAGAUUGGAGCCAAGGUACACAAGAUAGCCGGAAGUGGAGCGGCGUGAAUCAGGACAGCCGGCCCAGUCAGCGUCGGAGUAAGCAGAGAGAAGAACAGGCAGUUGUUGAGCACGAAAGAAUAGCCCAUAAUCAAUAGUGCCUUUAACAUACCGAAGAAUACGCCUCGCAGCAAUGAGAUGAGUGGUGCGUGGUUGACUCAUGAAUUGGGCAACUGAAUUCACAGCAAAGCUGAUAUCCGGACGUGUGAUUGUGAGAUACUGAAGAAACCCAACUAGCUCACGAAACACAGUUGGAUUUUCAAGCAGAUCACCAUCAGUUGCCGUGAGAAUUGGCUUAGCGGCUAACGGGGUGCUCAUAGGUUGGCUGAGAAGAAGACCAUGCUUCUGUAGUAUGUCAUGUGCAUACUUAAGUUGGUUAAUAUGAAGACCAGUUGAGGAUGAGGAGACCUGUAAGCCAAGAAAAUAGUGAAGAGAGCCCAAAUCUUUUAUGUCAAAGCCACGACCAAGGGCCUGAAUAAAACUCUCAACAAUUCCAUCACUGCUGCCAGUAACAAUAAUGUCAUCGACGUACAAGAGAAGAUAGAUGGUCUGAGGCCCGUAGUGAAAGAUAAACAAAGAAUUAUCAGCCUUACUUUGCCGAAAGCCUGCAGAGAGAAGAAAGCUGCCGAUUCGAUGGAACCAGGCACGAGGAGCUUGCUUUAGUCCAUAAAGAGACCUAUGAAGCUUGCAGACAUGUGUUGGGUGAUUAGGAUCAACAAAGCCGGGGGGUUGAGUCAUGUAAACGUCUUCAGCAAGAAAGUCGUUAAGGAAGGCAUUCUUUACAUCAAGUUGACGAAGCUUCCAGCCUCUAGAGACCGCAAUUGCAAGAACAGUACGGAUUGUGGCAGGUUUAAUGACUGGACUGAAUGUUUCCUGAUAAUCGAUGCCUUGUCGUUGGUGGAAUCCCUUGGCAACAAGUCUUGCUUUGUAGCGAUCCACAGUGCCGUCAGGAAGACGCUUGAUCCGAAAAACCCAUUUACAACCAACUGUGUUCUGCGUAGGUGAUGAGGGGACAAGAGACCAAGUUUGAUUUUUUAUCAGCGCAUUUAUUUCCUCAGUCAUGGCUGCACGCCAUUCCUUCGAUUUAGAGGCCUGGGUGUAGCAAGUAGGUUCCAUAUCAGCAAUAACAGAUAGAAGAGCACGAGGAAUUGGAUACCUGACCAUCCCAUCGGGAAGAGGUUUGGGUUUUGAGAUGCCGGAACGAGAGCGGGUUUGAAUUCUAUGGGAGGUGUCUGCAGCAGGAGGUGGGACAACGGGCAGAUCUGGAGGUGGUGCUGCCGUAACUGAUGAUGGCAGGAUUGGGUCACCAUUCUGGGUGGCGAAGGGAAGGAGAGCAUUGGCAGCCGAGGCGGUCUCUAUGGAGGCGGAGGUCUGGUGGUUGAUGGAGGUGUGUUGGGGAGAUGCGACCGAUGCCGGAGAAGGAGCAGAUGGUGGAGAUGAUGGCGGAGGUGCUUCGCAGAUCGGCGUUGUGAUGGGAGGUGGAGAGGAUGGUGCGACGGCUGGAGGAGAGAGAUGAGGUGCCGCCGUGGAUUGUUGAAGAGGACAGCGACUGUACUGGAGCAGAGGCGGCGCUAGGGAUAUUGACGAUGGGGGACCAGAGGCGCCGGCGGUGGUGGGUAGGGAGUGGGGCGUUGAUGACAGUGAAGGAGAUGUCGUGGGAGGAAGAAGUAAUGGUUCUGUGUGUGUUGGUGAUGUUGUGACUGGUUGAGAAUAGGAAUUGGGCUCCGUUGGGCCGGGGUCAGAUGGGGAUGACCAUGGGCUCGGCAGUCGGGCCUGCGGAGGGAGUGAUAAUGAGACAAAUUCUAUGGGAUCAGAAUUUGAUUGAACCUGCAAUCUGGUAUAAGGAAAAUCAUUUUCAUUAAAUAAAACAUGACGAGAUAUAUAGACACGAUUGGUUUGCGGAUCAAGACAACGAUAACCUUUGUGAUGAGAACUAUAACUUAUGAAGACACACUCGACACUUUGAUUUGACAAUUUGUUGGUGGCAAGAUCACCAAGGUGAGGAAAACACAAACAACCGAAAACACGAAGAGAGGAAUAAGAAGGAGAGUGACCAUAAAGACGAGAAUGGGGAGUGUCCCAAUUGAGAGUAGGAGUCGGAAGGAGAUUAAUGACGUAAAUAGAAGUCGAAACAGCCUCAGCCCAAAGAGUUUGAGGAGCGCUAGAGGUAAGAAGUAAGAUACGGGCCAUUGUAGCAAUAUGGCGAUGCUUUCUUUCGGCAAGUCCAUUUUGUUGUGGGGUAUAGGGACAAGAGAAGCGUUGUUGAAUGCCCAACGACGCACAAUAGUGAGAGAAUGCUUGGUUGACAUAUUCUGUGCCGUUGUCGCUUUGGAGAUAUUUGACUGUGCGAUGAAAAAUAUUGCGGAUCAUAGCAACCAAGGUUUGAAAAUGGGUGAGGACUUCAUUUUUCCGACGCAUCGGAUAGAGCCAAGUAUAUCGAGAGUACUCAUCUGUAAAAAGCACGUAAUAUUUGAAACCAGUGAAAGAUAAGGUUGGGGAUUGCCACACAUCACUAUGAAUAAUAUCAAAAAGAGAAGAAGCAGAAUUAUGACGAGAUGGAAAAGGUAGUUGGUGGGAUUUACCAAGUGCACAAUUAUUGCAAAAAGAAUUAAAAGAGAGUUUGGAUCCAAUAGCAGAACCUAAACGAGCAAGAACAGAGGAGGAAGGAUGACCCAAGCGAUUAUGCCAAAGAGACGAGUGAAUAGUAGACAAGGCUUGGGGAACGGUGGACUGGGAAGACAAACGAAGCGGAUAAAGACCGUCUUGACAUGGGCCCUGAAAUAAGAGACGACCAGUACGUAAGCAGUAGAUUUGAUAAUAAUCAGGAGCAAACAAGAAGAAGACAAGAUUAUCCUUAGUAAAACGAGCAACUGAUAAUAGAUUUUUCUGAAUUGACGGAAUACGAAAGACAUUUUGGAGAGAGAAAGUUGAAGAACCCAAUAACAUGGGAAGAUUGCCGGUUUGGGAAAUGGACAUUGAGUCCCCAUUUCCCAUAUACACAUUGUGAGGACCAACAUAUGGUUGUGGAUUAUUGACUGGUAAAGCCGUCAUGUGGUGGGUUGCGCCUGUAUCCGGAUACCAGUUCGGGUCAACAGCAGAAUGGACACCAGCAAACGGGACGUCAUGGAUGGGACUUGACAUGUGAUGUGGACGUUGAGAGAAACGAGACGCAUGAUGUCGCUGCUGCAUCAGAUACGGAGAUGCGACAUGUUGCCAGUGCGGAAAGGAUGAGUGAUACACACCAUAGUUGUUGGAAGCCAUUGGCAGUGGAGAAGGAACUUGUUUUUUUUUUUUUGUAGGGUUUUAGGGUGAUUAAGAAGCAGAAGAAGAACAAAGGAGAUGACGGAAGAAGAGAAAAUACAGAAUUGUGUGGAAUGAAGAAGAAAGAAUUGAAACACUAGGAAGGAAGCAGAAGGUGGAAUCACAGGGAAGGAUCGAUGUUUAGGCUGAUACCAUGUAGAAAGUGAUUUCCAUUGAUAUUUUCUAUUACAUUGUAUACUAUAUAUAUCCGUAUACAUGGGCAAAUUUACAGAGAGCAAUCAAGCGACAUUAACUACAGGAUCAAACUAAAUCAAAACUGAAACAUAGCAAUUACAAAACUAAUCAAUGGAGAAGAUUAUGUGCGUGAGUGAUUUAACUCUAACAACAUCAGUUUAGGAAACCUAUUGUGAAUGUUGGAGGAAAUCACGCUGGUGAUUGAAUUUGUGAUUGCUCUCUGACACUCUCUACAACCACGAAUCGCUCAACAUGAUCCGGAAAUGUAUCUCCUGCCAAAUGAGGAGACCCGAAAUCUCGAGCGGCAAAUGGAGGAGGGAGUGAAGCUAGUUGGCCAGCUAUCGAGUCUUGGCAUGUGGAACUAUCACUGCAUGAAGCGAAGCUACUCCGACCAACUUGCCGAAUUGUUCAGGUCUCUUAGAAGAGUGUUGUACAUUCUAAAGCUGCAGGAAGAGAGACAUACGAAUGAGCUCUUGCUUGUUGCAAGGAACAUUCGCGACAGACAAAAUGACCUGGAAAGAAGGUUAUGUGGUUUACUAAAAGUGAAGCUGGAGGAGCAGAACGAAGGCAAUGGUCAGGUGAGAAAUGGAGGAGGAGGGGCUGGUCAGGAUCUGGAGCAAGUGUUUUGCCGUUUGCUUGAACUCUUGGUUUGGGAAGUUGAUGUAGAAUUGAAUGGCAAAAGGAGCUUCAAACCGGUCUUGGUUGAUCUCAAAUCCACGGCUAGUUCCUUCCAACCACUCAUACAAGAGAUAUCACAGCUUAACAACAUACUGCAUCUAUCAAAGGAGGAACUGGAAAAUCUGAGGGAACAAUUGCAGAAAGGUAUCGAGCUUGUUGACAAGUGCUCGAAGGUACCUCGAGGGGAGAGCUACAAAAGGUAUGAAUACUUCGAAAGACUUCUGGAGUUGGAUGAUUAUCUUCGAGGAUUGUUAUGUAUGAUGAGGGAGCAGGUAGCCAAGGAUAUGAAGGAGACUUUGCUUUCUGUAUGCAAUUUGGAAAUGAUGCUCACUCGAAUUGAAGAGCUACAUCUGGCACAAAAUCAAAUUGAUCAACACCCUGCUUCGUGAAAGCUGUUUUAUUUUUUUUUCCUUUUCCAUUUUUUGGUUAGUUUUAGAACAGCGGUUGCGUAAAUAUGCUCAGAAUUAAUUCUUAAGAAAUUCAAUGUUCCUCCUGCAAUUUACGACUAUCAUACAGUCAUGAUCACUACUCAUUAUUAAUAGACUGAGGUGGAAGCCUGGAAGGUGACUCAAGCUUAUAAUUGAAAUUGUCUAUAGUAGAUGUACGUACCCUUCUUGGAGACUUUAGAAGAUUAUUUAUAAUAUCAAAGCUCUCUCGGUUCAUUUUGAAUCAAUCUCUUUUAAACAUGUGUUCUGGGAAGCUAAAUCUAGGCAACUCUUGUAAUAGUGAUCGAUCUUGGACCAAUAAGGUCCCAAUGGAGGCUACCAAUGGCAUCUUUUUCGAAAAUGUAAACUACGGAUGUCCUAAAGGCUUUACUAUCUAUUCUACAUAGACAAAGGGCGAAUUUGUAUUCCUUUGAGUUUGAUAUUUCGUAAUUGUCUGUUGUGUUAUAUUUUAGGCGAAUUAUAUUUUCCUUAGCAAAAAUAAAGAUUCUACAC